GAUUAAGUUAUUAAGGGCGCACGGUGGAUGCCUUGGCACUAGAAGCCGAUGAAGGACGUUACUAACGACGAUAUGCUUUGGGGAGCUGUAAGUAAGCUUUGAUCCAGAGAUUUCCGAAUGGGGAAACCCAGCAUGAGUUAUGUCAUGUUAUCGAUAUGUGAAUACAUAGCAUAUCAGAAGGCACACCCGGAGAACUGAAACAUCUUAGUACCCGGAGGAAGAGAAAGAAAAUUCGAUUCCCUUAGUAGCGGCGAGCGAAACGGGAAGAGCCCAAACCAACAAGCUUGCUUGUUGGGGUUGUAGGACACUCUAUACGGAGUUACAAAGGACGACAUUAGACGAAUCAUCUGGAAAGAUGAAUCAAAGAAGGUAAUAAUCCUGUAGUCGAAAAUGUUGUCUCUCUUGAGUGGAUCCUGAGUACGACGGAGCACGUGAAAUUCCGUCGGAAUCUGGGAGGACCAUCUCCUAAGGCUAAAUACUCUCUAGUGACCGAUAGUGAACCAGUACCGUGAGGGAAAGGUGAAAAGCACCCCGGAAGGGGAGUGAAAUAGAACCUGAAACCGUG
rnacentral:rRNA from 1 species